GUGACCUACGGGACGCAGCAGUAGGGAAUCUUCGGCAAUGGGCGAAAGCCUGACCGAGCAACGCCGCGUGAAUGAAGAAGGCCGUCGGGUUGUAAAAUUCUGUUAUAAGGGAAGAAAGGUGAUAGGAGGAAAUGACUAUCAAUUGACGGUACCUUAUGAGAAAGCCACGGCUAACUACGUGCCAGCAGCCGCGGUAAUACGUAGGCGGCAAGCGUUGUCCGGAUUUAUUGGGCGUAAAGCGAGUGCAGGCGGUUCAAUAAGUCUGAUGUGAAAGCCUUCGGCUCAAACGGAGAAUUGCAUCCGAA
rnacentral:rRNA from 1 species